rnacentral:piRNA from 1 species
UUAGGAGUGUUCGAAAUGUUG